UAUGGGGCGGCUGGGUGAAUGAAUGAUGGAUAUUGUUCAGGAGGUGACCUAAGCAGCCAGGAAUGUGGCAGCAGUGGGCUUUAAUGAGGCAUUCAUCAAUGACACCCUCCCCCAAUCCAAAGAGGUGAAACCCUCUCUACUCUGGGCCACACAGGACAGUCAAGUAGCGCUCCAGCGGCCGGACUGAUGAUCUGUUGUCUUCAGCAGAUUCCAGAGGAGAUGAAAUCGGGGACCACAUUGAGAGGAGAGAGAAUGAACUGGUCCUGACGACACAGCCACAGAUUAGAUGGGUGGAGCAACGGGGACACAGACAGCCCCUCCAGCACACCUCCUGGGGCUGCCACUGUUGGAGCAGGAGGACACGGGGGCUGCUUACCAGUACCCAACCCUGGUGGGCCCGGGGCAGAACAGGCGUGCUGUGUUUUUCUGCCCAUGACGACACAGCCUAAUUUGAAAGCAAUUACAGUGAAAUAUGGAAUGCUUCUUA